GGCAAAACUUGGGAGUGUUGCGGAGGCUCGACCGCUAGAGAGGUUCGGAGAGAUGUCGCCGAAGGUCGGAAGUCGGUAGAAUCCUCGGAGGGUCAUUCCUGUCACGAACUUCGACUGGAGAGUAUUUUAUACCCAACACUUAUAAUACUUUUAUUAUUAAUAAAAGAUAUUUUUAUUUUCAAUCAUGUUUAUGAGUCCAUGAUUUAUCUUAAAAAUUAACAAAGAUAAUUUUUGUAUAUUCUCAAG
rnacentral:lncRNA from 1 species